rnacentral:lncRNA from 1 species
CUCUGACUUCAAUUUCAGGUAGACUCCGUCUGGACUCCCACGGGAGCCAGACUUCGCCCCGACUUCACCUACGGGAGCCGGACUCCCGUGGCCCCACCAAGAGCGGAGGAAAAAUCCCACUCAAAAAAGAAAAAGGGGGGAGGGGUUAAGAAGGAAAGCGAUGGACUACGUCAACGACGAAUGAAAAACAAACAGCAUCA